AAAUUAGACUCACUUCCUUAUACGUAUACAUGUGCAUGUACUGUGAUGUGAUAAGCUGUGUAGAAUCCAUCAGUUAAAUUCGUAUUUCUGAAGAUUUCAGAUAAUUGAUAUGGACAAGCUAUUAACCGAUUUAUUGAAAAAAUAUAAAUCAACAGAGGAAGUCCUCAAACAAUCACAAGUAACACUAGAGGCUCUAACGCAACAGUUAAAUUGUUUUGAAAACAAACUUCAACAUGGUAAUGGAAUUUGCUCUGCAUUCGUUUUGGAUACAUCUGAAACCAUGGCAGGAGAAGGUUUUCGACAAAUGAAAAAAGCUGUUUUUAACAUUUUAGACGAAUACAGUGCAUUGAACCUAGAUGACAAUGUCGCAGUCAUUGCAUGUGGGGCAGAAACAAAGGUUCUUCAUUAUUUUUCAAACGAUUAUACCUCCAUUAAGAAAUGUUUUAAAAGCAUUGAUUGUAUAGGACCCCCUCAAUUGGAAGCGGGAAUUGAUUUGACUUUAUCAUGUAUCAAGCAUAGAGGAGGUGGCACAGUUUAUCUACACCCUCUUGAAAUCAGGCCUAGAGUUGUGGUGAUUUCAAAUGGGAACCCCACAGACAAAUCAGACCCUAAAGAGACAACGACCAAUAGCCAGACAUUUCAAAGACUUUUCUCUCUUGCCGAGAGGGAGGGAAAAGUGAACCCGUUUACAUUUAUACCAGUUGGGAAUUCUCCAAACUAUUGCCUAUUAGGAGCAUUAGCGAUAGCAGCAAAAGGUGGACGACUCAUUGGAUGGAAGGAAGCUCGGCAAUAUGCAAGGCUGUCGUUAAACUUUCGUGUUGCCGGUAAACUUCUUUCCCAAUUUCGCGGGGAGACACUAACAGAAGACAUUGUGAGAACACGAUAUUCUAGUUUUGGUCAUGGGGAUGAAGACGACAUUAAUCAGGUUUGCGAAAUAUUGAAUGAAAAGGAAGUGUAUGGGAAGUUAUGUAAAGAAAACAAGCAAAAGCAAUAUGCCUCAAUGCCUAGUAUUGGUACAAGAGUACGAAGAGGAGAGGACUGGCAGUAUGGUAACCAGGAUAGCUACGGGGUCGGAACGGUUACUGGCCAUUGUGAUAAAGCAGGCUGGAUUUUUGUAGAAUGGGAUAACGGUCAAACAUUUGAUUAUCGAUAUGGAAACAAUGGAUUAAUGGAGGCAUAUGAUCUGACAGUUUGUGAUGAACCACGGCAUAUUCCAGAAAAUCAAACCAUAGCUACAGGGUGCCUUGUUCGGAGAGGGUAUGACUGGCAAUGGGGAGAUCAAGACGGUAGCGAAGAGAGCAUCGGGACUGUUUAUAGAGUAGAAGGCAGAGGGGAAGUAUAUGUUAUAUGGCCCAACGGAGUCAAAAGCAAUUACAGAUUUGGAUACAAAAAUAAAUAUGAUUUGCUCUUAUGGUAAAUAAUUUCAGUACCAAAAAUAUCAUUUGUUUGUUUCAUUUUAAAUUGCAAACUUAUACCAGUUUUACUUUCUUUUUGCAAGCGAUCCUCGAGAUCCAGAAAUAAUGCAGCUAUAUCAGUUUCAAAAGGAAAUGUUCAGUGAUAAAAAAAGUACAUCAUCAGAAAAUAAACAAUAACAAAAUCGAUGACGUCAUGGACAGUACUUCCUGGGUAUUAUUAACAAAACAGUAGCUCUCUAGUAUUUACACUACUUAGAAAUGUAUAUAUUUGAGAACAUUGGUAUCUUUCUUUGAAAUGUAAAAGAGAUUAUUUUGUUAUUUCGGUGUGAAGAAAAAUAAAAACUGAAAAAUGAU
rnacentral:misc_RNA from 1 species